rnacentral:rRNA from 1 species
AGUGAACGCUGGCGGUAGGCCUAACACAUGCAAGUCGAACGGCAGCACAGGAGAGCUUGCUCUCUGGGUGGCGAGUGGCGGACGGGUGAGGAAUACAUCGGAAUCUACUUUUUCGUGGGGGAUAACGUAGGGAAACUUACGCUAAUACCGCAUACGACCUACGGGUGAAAGCAGGGGACCUUCGGGCCUUGCGCGAUUGAAUGAGCCGACGUCGGAUUAGCUAGUUGGCGGGGUAAAGGCCCGCCAAGGCGACGAUCCGUAGCUGGUCUGAGAGGAUGAUCAGCCACACUGGAACUGAGACACGGUCCAGACUCCUACGGGAGGCAGCAGUGGGGAAUAUUGGACAAUGGGCGCAAGCCUGAUCCAGCCAUACCGCGUGGGUGAAGAAGGCCUUCGGGUUGUAAAGCCCUUUUGUUGGGAAAGAAAUCCAGCUGGCUAAUACCCGGUUGGGAUGACGGUACCCAAAGAAUAAGCACCGGCUAACUUCGUGCCAGCAGCCGCGGUAA